AGUAAUACAUAAGUAACCUGCCCCAGACAGGGGGAUAACUAUUGGAAACGAUAGCUAAGACCGCAUAGGUACGGACACUGCAUGGUGACCGUAUUAAAAGUGCCUCAAAGCACUGGUAGAGGAUGGACUUAUGGCGCAUUAGCUGGUUGGCGGGGUAACGGCCCACCAAGGCGACGAUGCGUAGCCGACCUGAGAGGGUGACCGGCCACACUGGGACUGAGACACGGCCCAG
rnacentral:rRNA from 1 species